rnacentral:rRNA from 1 species
GAUGAACGCUGGCGGCGUGCCUAAUACAUGCAAGUCGAGCGAACAGACGAGGAGCUUGCUCCUCUGACGUUAGCGGCGGACGGGUGAGUAACACGUGGAUAACCUACCUAUAAGACUGGGAUAACUUCGGGAAACCGGAGCUAAUACCGGAUAAUAUAUUGAACAGCAUGGUUCAAUAGUGAAAGACGGUUUUGCUGUCACUUAUAGAUGGAUCCGCGCCGCAUUAGCUAGUUGGUAAGGUAACGGCUUACCAAGGCAACGAUGCGUAGCCGACCUGAGAGGGUGAUCGGCCACACUGGAACUGAGACACGGUCCAGACUCCGACAGGAGGCAGCAGUAGGGAAUCUUCCGCAAGGGGCGAAAGCCUGACGGAGCAACGCCGCGUGAGUGAUGAAGGUCUUCGGAUCGUAAAACUCUGUUAUUAGGGAAGAACAAAUGUGUAAGUAACUAUGCACGUCUUGACGGUACCAAAUCAAAAAGCCACGGCUAACUACGUG